UGUUUGUGAUUGUGAUACUUCAACUCUUAAUAUGGUUCUGCUGAUGCUGUAGCCCUUUCUCGAUAUGCUUCGGGACAGCGCUCGUUUCCACCUACGCGCAACCCACAUUGCUGUGCGCAACUUUUCAAUCUUACACCUCGGGUUGACAGAGCAUAUUCAACCCUCACCCCAACCGGGCGGAACAGUCUUACUCUGAGAGCUGGCUACCAUAGCAACGUGAUGGUAAUGGUAUCUGACGAAUUGGCAUGACGUUGUCCUGCUGACGGGAUUGGGAUGUCACAGAAAACCACAACGUGGCCCGUUUUUUUAUCCCAGCAAAUCAUGAUAAUGUUGAUUGAGAGAACGUUAUUUUAUUUACUGCUUACACUGUAACGGAUUUUUGUAAUUUGAACAGUAUUUUACUGUAAUAUGUACAGUAUAAUACUGUUAAAUGUGCCAACAGUAUAAUACUGUAAAUAGCAAAGGAUUAUGGGAAAAUAUAAGUUUAGUACUGUAAUUAUUCUCUACUGUAAAUCGAUUUACAGUAGCGACAAUGCCCGCGAAAAACUGACCAAUGACAACGGAGACUUCUUUUCAACGGUUUUUUUUUUUCAGUUGGUUGGGACAACUGAGGAAACACUCAACAAAAAGGUUAGUAUUGUUUCUGUAAUUAUUUUAUUUAAAACCGAGAUAUUUUCAAAUGCAGUCACUUAUUAACAGCAACCUAACACGAACCAGUGUUGCAAAUUGAGUGAGUUGUGAGGACAAUAUUCCUGUAGUCAAGACUUUUUUUCUGCCUGUUUGUCAAGGCCUGAGGUAAUGUUACAAUUGUUACUGCCGUUAUCAUUAUGACAACUUAAACGGGGUGAAUAAAGUUUACAUUGACUGAUAUUUAGUGACACAGAAACAAAAUAAGCUUUUUUUAAAUGCUCCUCUGCCUCUUUAAUGUAAAUUAGCUAAGCAGGAGGACUCUGUGGAAACUUUACGUUAACAGCAAACUAUCUUGAAGUACAAAAAGAAAACGUGAGGCAACACUAAAGACGGAGGUUGUAUAACAGUAUUUUGAAGUGAAUAUUUCGUUUUCAUUUAGUUUUUUGCUGUUAGAACCGCGGAACGUCGGAGGUUUGGAGUUGCUUGGAGUUCUUUUCUGGCGGUUACCGUCAUCUGAAGAAACUGGUCACUGCAACUCCAGCAGAUGCAGAGAGAAGCCUCUCUCUGCCCAGUACCCCAAGACUGAUUGCACUUGGUUCAUUCUGAGAAUAAACCCUGAUGACACCAAAUGCCUAAAUCACAAAAUCAAAAUCACAGAUCAGCCGGGCAUCUGGAAAAAGGGUGCAGAGAAAAAUCGCCAGCCUGAAUCCUCUUGUGACAUCUUUCAUCAGAGAGCUUGUUGAAUUCGAUUGGCCAAAUUAUUGAAAGAAAACACGACUAAAACAUGUUUUUACUGUUUGAUUUGUUCUGCUUUUCAGAAUGUUUUUCAGAAAUUUUUAGCCAUGUUACAAAUACACAGGAUGAAUUCAAACACAUUUGUAGAAUGUACUUUUUAAAGUAAAUGUUAAAUAAUGAAAUAGUUAAACAAUGAAACAGCACAUUUUAAUGACAAAUGUUCAUAAGAACUUAUGCAUGUUUGGGGGAUUGAAAAACGUAUAGUUUACAGCUAGUGGUUUUUCAUUCGUUAAACAUCAGUUACACCUGUUGUUAAUUUCAUUAAUUGGUUUGUCUUUUUAUACUCUGUGUUUGGUUUUGUUGCUUUGUUUUCUGAGUAUUUUGAGUUCUAUAUUAAAUAAAACUUUGACUGCUGCGAUUAGAUCAGUUUCAUCCAACUUUAUUGCAACCUUACCAGUGACAUGUAGAUUAAAAUUUUAUUAAUUUUGUAACAAUAAAGCAAAUGAAGCUAGACCCAAAUCUACAAAAAAAGUCUGAGUAAUAU